rnacentral:rRNA from 1 species
GUGUCAGCAGCCGCGGUAAGACGAAGGGGGCAAGCGUUGUUCGGAAUUACUGGGCGUAAAGGGCGCGUAGGCGGCACUUUAAGUCAGGCGUGAAAGCCCUGGGCUCAACCUGGGAGUGGCGCUUGAUACUGGAGGGCUAGAGAGUGGGAGAGGUUGGUGGAAUUCCCAGUGUAGAGGUGAAAUUCGUAGAUAUUGGGAAGAACACCGGUGGCGAAGGCGGCCAACUGGACCAUUUCUGACGCUGAGGCGCGAAAGCGUGGGGAGCAAACAGGAUUAGAAACCCGGGUAGUCC